CAUUACAGCGAGGAAUUGUGUGAAUUUCGAAGGCAUAUUUGAGUUACCAUCUGGAGACAUAAUUGAAUUGCGUCCAAUCAGCUCCAAUUGUCCGCAUUGUGGAUCGAUCGAAUGGCAAUUAUCAUGGCAUCAGCACUGGAAACUUUAUCGAACGAUUCCCAGCGUUGUGGAACGUCUUCAUUUGGACAAGGUGUGAUGAUCGCUCAGGAAGAGCCAUUUCCGCCGGAGGUUAUCCCCUGCACGGAGGCCUGCACCCGUAUCCCGUCGAAAAAGAUUGCCUUGAGUCACUCGACAAAUCUGCGUGCGCGGGACGCACUGCGACUGCAGAAUCUUAUCUAGUGAAAGAUUUGAGGCGUUCUGAUUUAUCAUCCCCCAACUGUGACAUCAUUUUGCCGUACAAGAGAUGGAUUCCGAAGUGUUUUCUAGGAAGAUCCAAAGAUCAUAUUCGCAAUACAUACAUAUGUACAUACAUAGGUAUCUUUCCAUGACUGGCCAUAAUGGUUGGAAACAAGAAUGGAGUUCGUUGUGAAAUGGUAAUUAAGUAAUGGUAAUGGUAAUUGACGGAGGAGUGUCGUGGUGAAUAUAAAUAUCAUUUGUGGAAAAACAACAAACAGCAUUGAGUAUUUGCGUUAACAGUGCGAAAUGAUUAACGCGAUAACCUCCGCUGGGGCACACAGGCCCCAACCACAAGUGGCAAAGAGAGAAGAAUAGAGAGCAAAA